GCGGAGAUGGUGGAACUGGCAGACACGUACGUUUGAGGGGCGUAUGGCUCACGCCAUGCGGGUUCAAGUCCCGCUCUCCGCA
rnacentral:tRNA from 2 species